rnacentral:rRNA from 1 species
CCCUUAGAUGUUCUGGGCCGCACGCGCGCUACACUGACAGAGCCAGCGAGUUCUUUUUCCUUGGCUGAAAAGUCAUGGGUAAUCUUGUGAAACUCUGUCGUGCUGGGGAUAGAGCAUUGCAAUUAUUGCUCUUCAACGAGGAAUUCCUAGUAAGCGCAAGUCAACAGCUUGCGUUGAUUACGUCCCUGCCCUUUGUACACACCGCCCGUCGCUACUACUGAUUGGAUGUUUAAGCGAGGUUCUCGAACUGCUAGCGACUUAGCUUCGGUGAGGUCGCAGUGUGGGAAGUGAACCUAGCUUUGGUGUCUAGAGGAAGUAAAAGUCGUAACA